AGCCACCGCGCCCGGCUGAACCCAGCUAAACAGUUUUGCUGCUGACAGAGGAGACACGGCAACCACAAGGUUAAAAUCAGAAGCAAACAGGGGGCCAGUGUUUCUCCACAUGAGCACCUCAGGAUUCUCUCUCUUCUGGAGGUAAGGAACGUUGGGCUUGGACAUUCCAUAUUCCCCCACUCUCUACGUAUGUAUGUAUGUAUGUAUGUAUGUAUGUAUGUAUCUAUCUAUCUAUCUAUCUAUCUAUCUAUCUAUCUAUCCUAUCUAUCUAAUCUAUUCAUUUUGAGAGAGUCUUGCUCCGCCACCCAGGCUGGAGUGCAGUGGCAUGAUCUUCGCUCACUACAACCUCCGCCUCCUGGGUUCAAGCGAUUCCCAUGCCUCAGCCUCCCAAACAGCUGGG
rnacentral:lncRNA from 1 species